UUUUUUUUGUCGAUUAUAUUAUUAAGCCUUCUUAGGCAAAAAAUUCUAAACAAUAAGAACUAGCAAAACAAAUAUAAAAAAAAGAUACACCCGUAGGGAUCCAAAGUAAACUAACACAAAUCUAUUUUGCGUGUGGAUGACCAAAGAUUUUUCAUAUAAAAGCUCCAUAUUUGCUUUUAGAAUAGUUGAAUCUCAAAUGGGAUAAUCUUCAUAUUAAUCCAAAACCACCACGUUUCAAACUGAAUUGGGAACGAUUGCCACUCUUUUUAAUACUGCAGUAGGAGUCCCGAGACGAGACAACUCUUUAUAUUGCUCUAUUGAAAAUAAUAGAGUCAAAGAGAUUACCAUUCCAUAGAAUUUCGUGCUGCCUUUCGAAGUAACCAUAAUUUGCAGCAAGAACUCCAUCAUCAUCAAUGAAGAACCAUCAACGAUUGAAGCCAGUAAGACCCGUCUCUACCAUCCGCAGUAGAUCUGUCAAUUACUUCUAAACGGUUCAAUUGAACCAAAGUUUUUGUCUUACCAAAUCUAUUGGAAGAAACAUACAAAAGAACAAUAAAUUUUUUUGUCUGAUUUAAAAUAAAUUGACAAUCAAACAAACCAAGUGAUAGAAAGUAAAACAAAUCAAAGAAAAAGAAGCAAAGCGAAUCUAACAAGCCGAUGUCGGAGCAAUAGAAGCCUCCGGCCAUCGGCUUGAAACUAAAAAAAUAUUUCUCUUUUUCUCUUGACGGCUUGUAACUUCUACUUUGUAACGAUUUUUAUAUCACUUAUUCAGAAAAAAUCAUUGGUCCAGUCAUGAAUAUUCCAUAAAUUAUUUAUGUUCAAUAUUCGUUUUUUUUUUAUUUGACGUAUGCUUCAGAAUUAUGAUUUUGUUAGAUAUACACGAUCUUCAUCUAGAUUGACAUUUAGUCUUUUUGCUAGACAAAUUUAAAUAACAUAAAGAACCAUAUCCUAGUUUAUUUAGUAUUAGGUUGGCCGCCCUACGGACGGGAAGUUAUAGUAGAACUAUUUUACUAUGUUAAAUAGUGUUUAUCUUUUUGUUUAAAAACUAAUUUAAGUUAACACUUAGUGUUUUGACCCAAAAAUAGUAUUUAGAGUUAUGAUAUAAGAUAAUUCUAUUUGUAACAGUUUUCCAAUGGUGUGGUGAUUUUGUAUUUAGUCGUUUGAUGUUGGGAAUUGUUUAAAAUUAGAAAGUUAUUAUUAGAACAGUCGCAACACUUUUGAGAGUCACAUAUUUAGUUACCAUUAGGAAUUCUAUAAUGUAUGUGAGGAAAUAUUAUUUAUGAGAAAUGCAAUGUUUAUUUUUUGUGUAGACGAAUAAUUUAAGUACUAUUUGAAAACGUAAACGGACUGGCUAAUAAAGAGACGAUUAAAUAUAAGAACUUAUUGAGUGGGAUUCAUUUGAACUUUUUUAGCCUAUAUUCUUAAAUUAAAAUUGUAGAAAGUGUGUAUAUUCACCAGUUCUUUUUGCUUACAACUUUAUGCCUUGAACAUUUGCACCAUUUUAAGUGAUUUUGAUGGGAGAUCUCAAAUAUUAUAAAGGAAGAAAUUGGGUGUUGAGAGUUUUGCUUACUGAGGUGGCAUAUUUGACCAAUUAGAUUUUGCUACUGAUCCCAGAACUUUUAUAUGAGAAGAUUGAUUAUGUUCUCUAUGUUUAAUCAAACAUAGAGAAUCAAAUUAAAACAUACCAAGCGAAUAUAGCAUACUGAAGCAAAUAAAACAUUAGUGAAGCAAUGGUAAUACAAAUAUCACAGCAUUUGGAAUAUUAGGUAGAUGUUUUAGUACGACCACGACCCUUUCCUCGUGCUGACUCUGGUUGAACUGAGUCGUAUGCACCUAUUGCUCUCAGAUAAUGUAGGUAAUCUGGGUCAAUGUCUUCUUCCGGUUCCUCAAUGCGUAUCAAUUGGUAGCUUCUGAGCUCGGUUUUGGUUAGCUUGUAUGCAUUAGUUACUCCUGAGGUUGAGCUUUCUUGAGUGCUUAUUGAUGUGGCUUGUUGAGCUGUGUUGACCGCUAAUUGUUGUGGCGGUUGUUGUGGCUGGUUGAGCUGUGUUGACUGCUUCUUUGCUUCCAUCAGAGUUGCUAGCAGGAAACGUUAACCAAAUUUAGAACUUUAAAAUAAGGAAAAAAAUGAAAAUAAGAACAUGCAAAUUAAGUUAAUGAACAAAGCUACCUGGAGAAGAAAUUAGUGAAGACUAAUCCGAUAAAUUUACAAAAGUUAGAUCUUUGACUAUCUCUACAAACUGAGACUAUUGGUUAUCUUUGAGAUACGUAAGGCUUCAAAUCUAGGCGGAUCUAUGAGGCUUGUGGUGUAUUUGAAAGAUUUGUAAGAUGGAUGAAUAAGAUCAAGGGUUUAGAUGUUGAUAACCUGUGUGAGAUAACGCUGUAAUCUAAAUUGUGGCGGUGGAAGACAGAUUCGAGAUAGGAUUGCGGAGGCACUGAGAGUUUGUGGUGGCUUGAGAUGUAUUACGACAUAUGAAAGAGACUUGUGGUGGUUUGAGGGAAGAGAGAAAUCGAUAAGGGUAGUAAAAUCUUUGGGUUGGCUCCCUAUAUUAGGAAAUUCCGGCGUUACUUCCAAUAAGUUCGAACAAUGAGAGCCAAUGGUGAGGAUAACUUCAACUAUUAAUCUCAACCGUCGAAUCAUGUCAAUCCAAUGGUAUAAGUAGUUGUUAUUCGGAAAUCAAAUAUUGGGACCGUAACCAUUAUGCUUACAAAGCCUUCUUACAAAGCCUCGACCGUUCCUCCAACAAACUCAAUGACUCCCUCCCUUAUCACCUCUGCCACCGGCCUGCGAUGAUGGUCGAGUACGUUUCUUGCGGCUAUGCGAGAGGAAGAUGCGUUUUUGGCAGAGUCAUGUCCAAUGGUGUGGUGAUUUUGUAUUUAGUCGUUUGAUGUUGGGAUUUGUUUAAAAUUAGAAAGUUAUUAUUAGAACAGUCGCAACACUUUUGAGAGUCACAUAUUUAGUUACCAUUAGGAAUUCUAUAAUGUAUGUGAGGAAAUAUUAUUUAUGAGAAAUGCAAUGUUUAUUUUUUUUGUAGACGAAUAAUUUAAGUACUAUUUGAAAACUUAAACGGACUGGCUAAUAAAGAGACGAUUAAAUAUAAGAACUUGUUGAGUGGGAUUCAUUUGAACUUUUUUAGCCUAUCUUCUUAAAUUAAAAUUGUAGAAAGUGUGUAUAUUCACCAGUUCUUUUUGCUUACAACUUUAUGCCUUGAACAUUUGCACCAUUUUAAGUGAUUUUGAUGGGAGAUCUCAAAAGUUAUAAAGGAAGAAAUUGGGUGUUGAGAGUUUUGCUUACUGAGGUGGCAUAUUUGACCAAUUAGAUUUUGCUACUGAUCCCAGAGAUUUUGUAUGAGAAGAUUGAUUAUGUUCUCUAUGUUUAAUUUUUAAAAAUAUUCAAGAAUAGAAGAUUCAAAAUUUUGCUAUGUUUUUUAUGUCUUGCAAUUAGAUUAUGUAUCUUAAAUAAAAGCAUUAAGAACACUGUAUGAACUAUAUAAACCAAAAAAAAAGAGUUAAAAAAACAACAUCUAAGCAAAAGUGAGUUGACUAUACAAAUUGGAACAUUGGAAAAAUUACUAAAAAAAUGUUUCGGUGUAAUAAUUGAAAUCUCAAAAUAUAUAGUACGCUCAAGAAUCUGAAAAUAACUUUGAAAAAAUAGAAUCUUCACAUACAUAUUAAUGCAUGUAUUACAUUUACCUAAUAAAAAGUACAAAUCGCUGAACCUUUCUAUUAAGUAUCCCAGUUAUAUCUAUUAUACACAAUUUUUAAGGCCAAUUUAAAACUUUAUACUCUUAAUUUUAAACAAACUCUUAAUCUUUAAACUAUGAACUUAACCAGUAAACUUUAUUCUCCAUGACUUUAUAUUCAAGUAGCAAUGAUUGUAUCAGAUUUAAUAAUAGUCAUUGAUUAAAUUUUAAUCGAACGGUGGAGAAUCAAUCUCAACCUCUCUUUUUUUGUCCUUUUCUGUGCACUAAGAAACGAUCCAGAAACAUGUUUUCUUCACAUUUUUUUCAGAUUCAAAUCUCUAUCUUCUUAUCACACGUUUCUCUUUUCUUCUUUUUCUUCUCUACAUUUUUUCUAUGUCUAGUAAUUUGUUUAUUUUUUUCUCUGUUUUAUUAAAUGAAUCUCGUCUUCUUUCUAUUUCAUCUUCUUCUUUUUCUCUGCUGAAACUUGCCGUGUGUCGUACUCGUUGUCACCACUCUAGUUCAUCACCUCUCUUUUCAGAAUUCAAGGUUAAAAGGUGUGGAGGAAAAAGAAAAGCUUGACGGUGGUGGGAUUGAGAAAAGCGGAGCUGAAUGGUGGAUGCGACGAUGGCCACUUGGGAAGAACCCUAAAAAUGGAUCGAAGCGCGUUAGAGAUACUGGAGAUUGGGCCAUCCAAGAACGAAGCCCAUAUAAACCGAAGCCCAUAUAAACCAAAGCCCACCUAGACUUAAUGAAAAGUGGCGUUUUAAAAUGGGGGGACACAUGUCGGCUUCUCAAUACUUGAAUUAGUGAUGUGUCUGCCUACGCACGGAUAAAAUUGUCGUGUGAUCUAUAUUAUUAUAUAAUUGUAUAUUUUCAUUGCAUGUGUUUAUGUUAAGAUUUGGAAGAGGAGUGUAUAAUAACGUCAAUGGUUUUUAAGUAUUUUUCGGCACAAAGGA